rnacentral:rRNA from 1 species
UGAGCCGGGCCUUCGCCCGGUCGAACAGUCGAAGUUCGUGGAAGCCGUAAUGGCACGAAGCGACCGAAUGGCUGGAUAGCGCAAGUCAGGUCAACCGAGAGCCCGUGAAAAGGCGAGCACACUGUCCGUACCGAGAUCCGACACAGGUACUCGUGGCGGCGA